AGGUCUAACAUGAAGAUUAAAGUUUUGUUUGAUAGCCAAGAAUGUCUUGCCUCCUUUACUUGCAAGAGGUUAUAAAGUUUGGUAUUGUGAUCUAGAAACUAACCUUGUUGGAUUUCCUGCAGGCAGGUCAUUCUGGCUUAACUGACAAGCUUUUUUCUUUCAUGUUAGACUUCUCUUCUUCACCAACAAGCUUUUCAAAUAUUAUGUAUCAUUGAUUAGGAGUAUUAUUUUUAUAGGGAUUGUUCAGUUCACAGCCAAAGCUAAUUAAGAGAAAGAGGAUCUAACAUGAAGAUAAGAGUUUUGUUUGGUAACCAAGAAUGACUUGUCUGCUACUUACAAGAGGUUAAAAUGAUUGGUAUUGUUUGAAAACCUUAUUUGGUUUUCAUACAAGUUAUUUUGGCUAAACUGACAAGCUCUUUUCUUUCAUGCUAGGUUUUAUUUUCUUUACCAACAAGCUUUUAAAAAACACACACACACACACACACAUAUAUAUAUAUAUAUAUGUUGAGAGAUAUAUUGCGAGAUUCUUCAAUUUGUGUUACAAGCUUAAGCGUGAGUGAUGUCUGACAUGAAGAUAAGAAUCUCGUUUGGUAGCUAAGGAUGACUUAUCUGCUACUUGCAAAAGGUCUUCUCUUCUUCACCAAAAAGCUUUUGAUACCUUAUAUAUAUGUACGUCAUGGAGCCAAAGUUUUAUUGGCACCCUAUAGUGGAGACCGUUUACUUGACAGUACAAGUUUACGAGGAAGUAAGGUCUAACAUGAAGAUAAGAGUCUUGUUUGGUAGCCAUGGAUCAUGACUUGCAAGGUACUUGCAAGAGGUUAAAGUUGAAGUGAUUAAUAUUGUCUAGAAACCUUAUUUAGUUCCCAUGCAAUUAAGUCACCUUGGCUAAACUGACAGGCUCUUCUCUUU